CUUAUCAAGAGUGGUUGAGGGACAGGCCCUAUGAAACCCGGCAACCUGCGCGGUGCGCAAGGUGCCAAUUCCUGCGGCAUUUGCCGAAAGAUGAG
rnacentral:ncRNA from 3 species